rnacentral:pre_miRNA from 1 species
GAUUCGCAUGCGGCGGCACCAAGCAUGAGGCGACAACUGCAUUACUUGCUGGGAAGACGCAAGUAUGACAGCGAAACAUGCAUUACUUGCGGGAAAGGCGCAAAACGAAUAGAAGAUCAUCAUACUUGUGGCUUUCUUGCAAGUUGUGCAGUUGCUGCCUCAAGCUUGCUGCCUCCCUUUGCCAGAGC